GCGUCGUUAGCGCAAUAGGCAGCGCGUCAGUCUCAUAAUCAAAUCUAGAAAUCUGAAGGUCGUGAGUUCGAUCCUCAGACGGGGCA
rfam:Nematostella vectensis strain CH2 x CH6 NEMVEscaffold_66_Cont9585, whole genome shotgun sequence.